UUGUGCCAGCAGCCGCGGUAAUACGUAGGGUGCAAGCGUUAAUCGGAAUUACUGGGCGUUAAGUGAGAGCAGGGGGUUUUGUAAGUUUGUCGUGAAAGUCCCGGGCUCAACCUGGGAAUUGCGAUGAAGACUGCAAGGCUUGAAUCUGGCAGAGGGGGGUAGAAUUCCACGUGUAGCAGUGAAAUGCGUAGAGAUGUGGAGGAACACCGAUGGCGAAGGCAGCCCCCUGGGUCAAGAUUGACGCUCAUGCACGAAAGCGUGGGGAGCAAACAGGAUUAGAUACCCUGUAGUCCACGCCCUAAACGAUGUCUACUAGUUGUCGGGUUUUAAUUAACUUGGUAACGCAGCUAACGCGUGAAGUAGACCGCCUGGGGAGUACGGUCGCAAGAUUAAAACUCAAAGGAAUUGACGGGGACCCGCACAAGCGGGGGAUGAUGUGGAUUAAUUCGAUGCAACGCGAAAAACCUUACCUACCCUUGACAUGUACGGAAGGCCGGAGAGAUUUGGCUGUGCUCGAAAGAGAACCGUAACACAGGUGCUGCAUGGCUGUCGUCAGCUCGUGUCGUGAGAUGUUGGGUUAAGUCCCGCAACGAGCGCAACCCUUGUCAUUAGUUGCUACGAAAGGGCACUCUAAUGAGACUGCCGGUGACAAACCGGAGAAAGGUGGGGAUGACGUCAAGUCCUCAUGGCCUUAUGGGUAGGGCUUCACACGUCAUACAUGGUACAUACAGAGCGCCGCCAACCCGCGAGGGGGAGCUAAUCGCAGAAAGUGUAUCGUAGUCCGGAUUGUAGUCUGCAACUCGACUACAUGGAGGUGGAAUCGCUAGUAUCGCGGAUC
rnacentral:rRNA from 1 species